rnacentral:rRNA from 1 species
UGAGGAAUAUUGCACAAUGGGCGCAAGCCUGAUGCAGCGACGCCGCGUGUGGGAUGAAGGGGCUACGCCUCGUAAACCACUGUAGCCCGGGACGAAAAACGCCUUAGAGGCGUUAGACGGUACCGGGAAAGUAAGGGUCGGCUAACUACGUGCCAGCAGCCGCGGUAAUACGUAGGACCCAAGCGUUGUCCGGAUUUACUGGGUGUAAGGGGUGCGCAGGCGGAUGGGUAAGUCAGGGGUGAGAGUCUGCAGCUUAACUGUAGAAUUGCCGUUGAUACUGCUCAUCUUGAGUGUGGGAGAGGUUGAUGGAAUUCCAGGUGGAGCAGUGAAAUGCGUAGAUGUCUGGAAGAACACCAGUGGCGAAGGCGGUCAACUGGCCCAUAACUGACGCUCAUGCACGAAAGCGUG